CCUACGGGUGGCAGCAGUGAGGAAUAUUGGUCAAUGGACGAAAGUCUGAACCAGCCAAGUAGCGUGAAGGAUGACUUCCCUAUGGGUUGUAAACUUCUUUUAUCAGGGAAUAAACUGUGCCACGUGUGGCUUUUUGUAUGUACCAUAUGAAUAAGGAUCGGCUAACUCCGUGCCAGCAGCCGCGGUAAUACGGAGGUUCCGAGCGUUAUCCGGAUUUAUUUGGUUUAAAGGGAGCGUAGGUGGGCUGUUAAGUCAGUGGUGAAGGUUGGCGGCUCAACCGUGAAAUUGCAGUUGAAACUGGCAGUCUUGAGUGCAGUAGAGGUGGGCGGAAUGCGUGGUGUAGCGGUGAAAUGCUUAGAUAUCACGAAGAACUCCGAUUGCGAAGGCAGCUCACUGGACUGCAACUGACACUGAGGCUCGAAAGUGUGGGUAUCAAACAGGAUUAGAUACCCCAGUAGUC
rnacentral:rRNA from 1 species